rnacentral:rRNA from 1 species
AGAGCUUGCUCUCUGGGUGGCGAGUGGCGGACGGGUGAGGAAUACAUCGGAAUCUACCUUUUCGUGGGGGAUAACGUAGGGAAACUUACGCUAAUACCGCAUACGACCUUAGGGUGAAAGCGGAGGACCUUCGGGCUUCGCGCGGAUAGAUGAGCCGAUGUCGGAUUAGCUAGUUGGCGGGGUAAAGGCCCACCAAGGCGACGAUCCGUAGCUGGUCUGAGAGGAUGAUCAGCCACACUGGAACUGAGACACGGUCCAGACUCCUACGGGAGGCAGCAGUGGGGAAUAUUGGACAAUGGGCGCAAGCCUGAUCCAGCCAUGCCGCGUGGGUGAAGAAGGCCUUCGGGUUGUAAAGCCCUUUUGUUGGGAAAGAAAAGCAGUCGGUUAAUACCCGAUUGUUCUGACGGUACCCAAAGAAUAAGCACCGGCUAACUUCGUGCCAGCAGCCGCGGUAAUACGAAGGGUGCAAGCGUUACUCGGAAUUACUGGGCGUAAAGCGUGCGUAGGUGGUUGUUUAAGUCCGUUGUGAAAGCCCUGGGCUCAACCUGGGGAAUUGCAGUGGAUACUGGGCAACUAGAGUGUGGUAGAGGAUGGCGGAAUUCCCGGGUGUAGCAGUGAAAUGCG